rnacentral:rRNA from 1 species
CGUAGGUGGCAAGCGUUGUCCGGAAUUAUUGGGCGUAAAGCGCGCGCAGGCGGUUCCUUAAGUCUGAUGUGAAAGCCCCCGGCUCAACCGGGGAAGGUCAUUGGAAACUGGGGAACUUGAGUGCAGAAGAGAAGAGCGGAAUUCCACGUGUAGCGGUGAAAUGCGUAGAGAUGUGGAGGAACACCAGUGGCGAAGGCGGCUCUUUGGUCUGUAACUGACGCUGAGGCGCGAAAGCGUGGGGAGCAAACAGGGAUUAGAUACCCUGGUAGUCCACGCCGUAAACGAUGAGUAGCUAAGUGUUAGAGGGUUUCCGCCCUUUAGUGCUGCAGCUAACGCAUUAAGCACUCCGCCUGGGGAGUACGGCCGCAAGGCUG